CUACUGAUAUGCUUCCACGUGUCUCUGCGGUGUACGAUCUCCAUAAAACAUUGGAUUAACCAUCUGACCACCAAUCUACUGAACAAGAUUCAUCGGUUGGUUGAUCAAUCCUUGAUUCUGGAACCCAUGUUGGAUUGGUCCUUGUUGAAACCCUGCAGCCUAAUGAUUCUGUUGAGGCAUCUGCGAAAAAACAAACUGCCCUGUCCAUCCACCAUUAACAUUCAUCGGUGU
rnacentral:lncRNA from 1 species